rnacentral:rRNA from 1 species
UGAGGAAUUUUGGACAAUGGGGGGAAACCCUGAUCCAGCGACGCCGCGUGAGGGAUGAAGGUCUUCGGAUUGUAAACCUCUUUUAUUCGGGAAUAAGAAAUCUAUGGAAACAUAGAGAGUGAAUGUACCGAAUGAAUAAGCCACGGCUAACUUCGUGCCAGCAGCCGCGGUAAUACGAAGGUGGCAAGCGUUACUCGGAAUUACUAGGCGUAAAGGGCAGGUAGGUGGUUUGAUAAGUCUGUUGUGAAAGCUCCUGGCUUAACUGGGAGAGGUCAACAGAAACUAUCAGGCUUGAGUAUGGGAGAGGGUACUGGAAUUCCCGGUGUAGCGGUGAAAUGCGCAGAGAUCGGGAGGAAUACCUAUGGCGAAAGCAGGUACCUGGACCAUUACUGACACUCAGCUGCGAAAGCUAGGGG